AAAUCUUGACAUCUAACUGAUCGCUCCGUAAUUGGAGUUUUCCUUUCGGGGACAGUUAAGACAGGUGGUGCAUGGUUGUCGUCAGCUCGUGUCGUGAGAUGUUGGGUUAAGUCCCGCAACGAGCGCAACCCUUAUCUCUAGUAGCCAGCAUUUCGGAUGGGGACUCUAGAGAGACUGCCGGGGACAACUCGGAGGAAGGUGGGGAUGACGUCAAAUCAUCAUGCCCCUUAUGAUUUGGGCUACACACGUGCUACAAUGGUGGUGACAAAGGGAAGCAAAAGAGUGAUCUUAAGCAAACCUCAAAAAAGCCAUCUCAGUUCGGAUUGUAGUCUGCAACUCGACUACAUGAAGC
rnacentral:rRNA from 1 species